GACGAACGCUGGCGGCGUGCUUAACACAUGCAAGUCGAACGAUGAAAGAGGAGCUUGCUCCUCUGGAUUAGUGGCGAACGGGUGAGUAACACGUGAGCAAUCUGCCCCUGACUCUGGAAUAACUACGGGAAACUGUAGCUAAUACCGGAUAUGCGCCGAACAGGCAUCUGUAUCGGUGGGAAGGAAUUUCGGUCAGGGAUGAGCUCGCGGCCUAUCAGCUUGUUGGUGAGGUAACGGCUCACCAAGGCGACGACGGGUAGCCGGCCUGAGAGGGUGACCGGCCACAUUGGGACUGAGACACGGCCCAGACUCCUACGGGAGGCAGCAGUGGGGAAUAUUGCACAAUGGGCGCAAGCCUGAUGCAGCAACGCCGCGUGAGGGAUGACGGCCUUCGGGUUGUAAACCUCUUUUAGCAGGGAAGAAGCGAAAGUGACGGUACCUGCAGAAAAAGCGCCGGCUAACUACGUG
rnacentral:rRNA from 1 species